UGGGGAAUUUUGCACAAUGGGCGCAAGCCUGAUGCAGCGACGCCGCGUGAGGGAUGAAGGCCUUCGGGUUGUAAACCUUUUUCGCUCAUGGUCAAGCCGCAGCUUUGGGUUGUGGUGAGGGUAGUGGGUAAAGAAGCGCCGGCUAACUACGUGCCAGCAGCCGCGGUAAUACGUAGGGCGCGAGCGUUGUCCGGAAUUAUUGGGCGUAAAGGGCUUGUAGGCGGUUGGCCGCGUCUGCCGUGAAAUCCUCUGGCUUAACUGGGGGCGUGCGGUGGGUACGGGUUGACUUGAGUGCGGUAGGGGAGACUGGAAUUCCUGGUGUAGCGGUGGAAUGCGCAGAUAUCAGGAGGAACACCGGUGGCGAAGGCGGGUCUCUGGGCCGUUACUGACGCUGGGGAGCGAAAGCGUGGGGAGCGAACAGG
rnacentral:rRNA from 1 species